GGUGAUUUAGCUCAGUGGUAGAGCACUUGCCUAGCAAGCACAAGGCCCUGGGUUCAGUCCCCAGCUCUG
rnacentral:tRNA from 1 species